AAGUCGACCGCCUGGGGAGUACGGCCGCAAGGUUAAAACUCAAAUGAAUUGACGGGGGCCCGCACAAGCGGUGGAGCAUGUGGUUUAAUUCGAUGCAACGCGAAGAACCUUACCUGGUCUUGACAUCCACGGAAGUUUUCAGAGAUGAGAAUGUGCCUUCGGGAACCGUGAGACAGGUGCUGCAUGGCUGUCGUCAGCUCGUGUUGUGAAAUGUUGGGUUAAGUCCCGCAACGAGCGCAACCCUUAUCCUUUGUUGCCAGCGGUCCGGCCGGGAACUCAAAGGAGACUGCCAGUGAUAAACUGGAGGAAGGUGGGGAUGACGUCAAGUCAUCAUGGCCCUUACGACCAGGGCUACACACGUGCUACAAUGGCGCAUACAAAGAGAAGCGACCUCGCGAGAGCAAGCGGACCUCAUAAAGUGCGUCGUAGUCCGGAUUGGAGUCUGCAACUCGACUCCAUGAAGUCGGAAUCGCUAGUAAUCGUGGAUCAGAAUGCCACGGUGAAUACGUUCCCGGGCCUUGUACACACCGCCCGUCACACCAUGGGAGUGGGUUGCAAAAGAAGUAGGUAGCUUAACCUUCGGGAGGGCGCUUACCACUUUGUGAUUCAUGACUGGGGUGAAGUCGUAACAAGGUAACCGUAGGGGAACCUGCGGUUGGAUCAC
rnacentral:rRNA from 1 species